UGGGGGCAACCCUGAUGGUGCGACGCCGCGUGGGGGAUAAGGUCUUCGGGUUGUAAACCCCUGUCAUGUGGGACAUUAAAAAGAUAGUACCACAAGAGGAAGAGACGGCUAACUCUGUGCCAGCAGCCGCGGUAAUACAGAGGUCUCAAGCGUUGUUCGGAAUCACUGGGCGUAAAGCGUGCGUAGGCUGUUUCGUAAGUCGUGUGUGAAAGGCAGGGGCUCAACCCCUGGAUUGCACAUGAUACUGCGAGACUAGAGUAAUGGAGGGGGAACCGGAAUUCUCGGUGUAGCAGUGAAAUGCGUAGAUAUCGAGAGGAACACUCGUGGCGAAGGCGGGUUCCUGGACAUUAACUGACGCUGAGGCACGAAGGCCAGGGGAGCGAAAGGGAUUA
rnacentral:rRNA from 1 species